rnacentral:rRNA from 1 species
GAUGAACGCUGGCGGCGUGCCUAAUACAUGCAAGUCGAGCGAGCGGACGAGAAGCUUGCUUCUCUGAUGUUAGCGGCGGACGGGUGAGUAACACGUGGACAACCUACCUAUAAGACUGGGAUAACUUCGGGAAACCGGAGCUAAUACCGGAUAAUAUUUUGAACCGCAUGGUUCAAAAGUGAAAGACGGUCUUGCUGUCACUUAUAGAUGGAUCCGCGCUGCAUUAGCUAGUUGGUAAGGUAACGGCUUACCAAGGCAACGAUGCAUAGCCGACAUGAGAGGGUGAUCGGCCACACUGGAACUGAGACACGGUCCAGACUCCUACGGGAGGCAGCAGUAGGGAAUCUUCCGCAAUGGGCGAAAGCCUGACGGAGCAACGCCGCGUGAGUGAUGAAGGUCUUCGGAUCGUAAAACUCUGUUAUUAGGGAAGAACAUAUGUGUAAGUAACUGUGCACAUCUUGACGGUACCUAAUCAGAAAGCCACGGCUAACUACGUG